rnacentral:rRNA from 1 species
GUGUGAAUUGCAGAAUCCCGCGAGCCAUCGAGUUUUUGAACGCAAGUUGCGCCCGAGGGACCCACCCGAGGGCACGCCUGCCUCAUGGGCGU